rnacentral:rRNA from 1 species
AUUGAACGCUGGCGGCAGGCUUAACACAUGCAAGUCGAGCGGUAGCACAGGGGAGCUUGCUCCCUGGGUGACGAGCGGCGGACGGGUGAGUAAUGUCUGGGAAACUGCCUGAUGGAGGGGGAUAACUACUGGAAACGGUAGCUAAUACCGCAUAACGUCGCAAGACCAAAGAGGGGGACCUUCGGGCCUCUUGCCAUCAGAUGUGCCCAGAUGGGAUUAGCUAGUAGGUGGGGUAAUGGCUCACCUAGGCGACGAUCCCUAGCUGGUCUGAGAGGAUGACCAGCCACACUGGAACUGAGACACGGUCCAGACUCCUACGGGAGGCAGCAGUGGGGAAUAUUGCACAAUGGGCGCAAGCCUGAUGCAGCCAUGCCGCGUGUGUGAAGAGGGCCUUCGGGUUGUAAAGCACUUUCAGCGAGGAGGAAGGUGGUGAGCUUAAUACGUUCAUCAAUUGACGUUACUCGCAGAAGAAGCACCGGCUAACUCCGUG